UGGGGAAUAUUGCACAAUGGAGGGAACUCUGAUGCAGCGACGCCGCGUGAACGAAGAAGGCUUUCGAGUCGUAAAGUUCUUUUAUAAGGGAAGAUAAUGACGGUACCAUAAGAAAAAGCCCCGGCUAACUACGUGCCAGCAGCCGCGGUAAUACGUAGGGGGCUAGCGUUGUCCGGAAUCACUGGGCGUAAAGGGUUCGCAGGCGGAAAUGCAAGUCAGGUGUAAAAGGCAGUAGCUUAACUACUGUAAGCAUUUGAAACUGCAUAUCUUGAGAAGAGUAGAGGUAAGUGGAAUUUUUAGUGUAGCGGUGAAAUGCGUAGAUAUUAAAAAGAAUACCGGUGGCGAAGGCGACUUACUGGGCUCAUUCUGACGCUGAGGAACGAAAGCGUGGGUAGCAAACAGG
rnacentral:rRNA from 1 species